GAGAGCCACGGGCUCUGGGCUGCGGAGGAGGUUGGAGGUGACCUUCCAGAAGGAACUUGGGACAAGGGAGCCAGUGAGCACCUGGUAGGUAGUGGUUACUCUCUGAGGAGCCAGCAUCAGGCCAGCAGCACCAGCCAAAUAGAAGGGGGGAGAAGUGGCCUCCAGCUUCCCAGUUUGGGCUUGGGCCAAGACGACAAAGAAAAGGGUCCACCUUCUUCCCUCCAGGUCAGAUGACCCUGAACUGUAUCAAGUAGAAAAAUGUCUAACCAGGACAGAGGAAGAUACGAACCCUCGAAGCUCAUAGACGGGUGGUGAUGUGGUUUCCAACUGACUUUCAAGCAAACAGAUUUCCAAGCGUGCUUGAAGAGGGAAGCAAAUGAGAAGGCAGGAGGCUCUUACUCUAUGGAAGAAUGAUCAGAACAGUAUAGCUGCCUUCUUGGCCUGUCAUGGAAUUAAAUGGCAAAGGGUUCUGAGGACUAUCUGGCACAUACCGCUAUCACUACAGGGGAGUGGUCUCUAAGAGGGAUAACCAGACCCCUAAUGAGGCAAGCACGUCAUUUUCUGUGACAGAUACAAGAGAGGUUUGCUGGAAAUCGUGGCUGACCACCUCAGAAGCAUCCAAAAGACCUGAACUUUCUGGUUUUGCCUUUCACCUUGCUCUGAAACUUUUCCCAACACUGGAAGACAAGAAAGUCCCCACCCCCACCCUGUCCCAUCCCUGGGCCGGGGAGACUCUUCUCAUUGGGCAAGCAGGCUUGCUGGGCAAACGUGAGCCCCUGAGUUCCCAUCCCCAUAGAAAGCUGGACAUGGACAUGCAUGCCUGUUUCUGCAGUAUGGUCAACUCUGGGAGCUCUCUGGUCUCCUAUAAAUAAAGGAUAGCACAUUCAGCCUUCUUACCAUUUC
rnacentral:lncRNA from 1 species